rnacentral:rRNA from 1 species
GACGAACGCUGGCGGCGUGCCUAACACAUGCAAGUCGAACGGAACUGUUUUGAAAGAUUUCUUCGGAAUGAAUUUGAUUUAGUUUAGUGGCGGACGGGUGAGUAACGCGUGAGUAACCUGCCUUCAAGAGGGGAAUAACAUUCUGAAAAGAAUGCUAAUACCGCAUGACAUAUCGGAACCACAUGGUUUUGAUAUCAAAGAUUUUAUCGCUUGAAGAUGGACUCGCGUCCGAUUAGUUAGUUGGUGAGGUAACGGCUCACCAAGACCGCGAUCGGUAGCCGGACUGAGAGGUUGAACGGCCACAUUGGGACUGAGACACGGACCAGACUCCUACGGGAGGCAGCAGUGGGGGAUAUUGCGCAAUGGGGGCAACCCUGACGCAGCAACGCCGCGUGAAGGAUGAAGGUUUUCGGAUUGUAAACUUCUUUUAUUAAGGACGAAAAAUGACGGUACUUAAUGAAUAAGCUCCGGCUAACUACGUG